CACAUGCAAGUCGAGGGGUAUUGGUUUUCGGACCAAGAGACCGGCGCACGGGUGCGUAACGCGUAUGCAAUCUACCUUUUGCAGAGGGAUAGCCCAGAGAAAUUUGGAUUAAUACCUCAUAGUAUAGCAGUUUCGCAUGAGACCACUAUUAAAGUCACAACGGCAAAAGAUGAGCAUGCGUCCCAUUAGCUAGUUGGUAAGGUAACGGCUUACCAAGGCAACGAUGGGUAGGGGUCCUGAGAGGGAGAUCCCCCACACUGGUACUGAGACACGGACCAGACUCCUACGGGAGGCAGCAGUGAGGAAUAUUGGACAAUGGGCGCAAGCCUGAUCCAGCCAUGCCGCGUGCAGGAUGACGGUCCUAUGGAUUGUAAACUGCUUUUGUACAGGAAGAAACACCUCUACGUGUAGAGAUUUGACGGUACUGUAAGAAUAAGGAUCGGCUAACUCCGUGCCAGCAGCCGCGGUAAUACGGAGGAUCCAAGCGUUAUCCGGAAUCAUUGGGUUUAAAGGGUCCGUAGGCGGUUUAGUAAGUCAGUGGUGAAAGCCCAUCGCUCAACGGUGGAACGGCCAUUGAUACUGCUAGACUUGAAUUAUUAGGAAGUAACUAGANUAUGUAG
rnacentral:rRNA from 1 species